GACGGAGGAUGCAAGUGUUAUCCGGAAUCACUGGGCGUAAAGCGUCUGUAGGUGGUUUAGUAAGUCAACUGUUAAAUCUUGGGGCUUAACCUCAAAACUGCAGUCGAAACUACUAGACUAGAGUAUAGUAGGGGUAAAGGGAAUUUCCAGUGGAGCGGUGAAAUGCGUAGAGAUUGGAAAGAACACCGAUGGCGAAGGCACUUUACUGGGCUAUUACUAACACUGAGAGACGAAAGCUAGGGUAGCAAAUGGG
rnacentral:rRNA from 1 species